ensembl:lncRNA
GUUCAACCCAAAAAGAUUGAGGUCAAUGACGGAAGCAUGCGCACGUGAGGUGACCACGCCCCUCUUUCCAUGCCCUGAAGCAGCGCGGCAUUUUGUUCAUCUUCUGCCUGCAGCGAGCGACUUCAAUUUACUCUCGUUUUUCCAGUCUUACCAAGCUACCUUUGGCAACCUCUUAGUGAUUGAUUAUGAAUGUGGACGUGUAAGGAGUGCAGUUUGGAGUUAGCUACCAGAUUAAAAGGUGUUCUGUAAUGGAAGCUCCUGCUGUCCUGCGGAUCAUUUUUGCGGAUGAGUUUGACUCAAGAAAAUUGCCCCUGGUGACUGGAAUUCCAUCGACAGUCGUAGAGCUCCAUGCAUCCAUAAAGACUUUCUUUCAGUUGAAGGAAGAAUUUCGUUUGCAGUAUAUGGAUACUGACUUUAAUGCGUUCAUGAACCUUAGUUCAGUUUCAGAAAUUCAAAACAAAAGCACAGUGAAAGUAAUAUGCACUGCAAUCCUGGAACCUGAGGAGACCUAUGUUACAUUAUACCCUUUACACUUACCUGGUGAAACCUCAAGUUCCACUGUCCCAGAUCUUCAAAAAACCCUUUCGUCCUUAGAGUCAUCCUGCAGUGACGAUACCAUGUACACGUC